AACAGGCAACAGCGAGCUGCUUUUUUUCCGCCGUGAUAAGUGAUAACACAAUUAAUAAAAAAAGUUUAAAAAACUUCACAGACGCAGCAACAGCAGCUACAGCAGGCUGACGGUAACGGAUAACGGACCGUAAUAAACUUAAAACUUAAAAAUCGUUUAAAAAUGUAAUACCAGGUUCUUAAUUAGUUUUUUUCUAGCCAUUUAAAAGUAUUAAAGAUACAUGACUUAAUAAACUUUUUCUGACGAAGUUUGUUAUAUAAAUGAAGAAAAACAAUAUUAGUUAAUACUUAGUAAGUUGCAGCUUAAACAGAAAUUCAAAAUUAAAAUGAAUAAGUGUACAAGCGAUGCAUGACACGGAAACCGGUGCUAUACACUAUAGUAAGUAUAAUAUAAACAAACAAGCCUUUGACAAGCAUUGUUUUAAAUCGACUAUCGAUGUUCAUUAUUCAGUCAACUCAAAUGAUUGGAAAAUAAUAUGAAAAAAUCCUGAUCACUCGAAAACGGUUUGAUUGAGAAAAUUAUUUAGGUAUUUAUAUAUGUAGGCAAUUACUAAUUUUAUCAAAAAAAUACUAACUUCCCUUUGGCUCGGGACGUUGUGACUGGACGUUUGAUUCAAACUACAGACACUAGCGAAUGAAGUUAUUACGGUUGUCGGUUAAGUAAUACUUAAGUACUAACUAGUACGGCGUUCGACUUUUUUGACACCGUUAGUUAGACUAGAUUACUAGACUUACUGAGUAUAAGUGCGGGAGGAAGGGAGGAAAUUAAAUUAUUUUUUUGGGCUUAAAUUAUACGUUUAUACAAUUCGCAUACACAUGUAAUAUAAAGAAAUGCUGGUAAUUUUUUUUUUUUUGAAAAAUUUUAUUGUAAAAAUCGUACUUAAAUAAUUUUAAAUAAUUAUACAGUAUUACAUUAAAAUUAUUCAGUACUCGACUUGUGGAAGGGACGCAGGGGGACGGAGUACCCCAACUAAUUUUUCAGAAAUUGUAGAGUAGCUACUCCUACUAUUAUUUUUACGGUUCAAUAACGUUUAGCAAGGAAUGGGAACGCUCUUUUUUAAAAAGUAAACAGAGUCCCUCUACUUCAAUUUUGCGAAGUCGAACAUAUAUAUUAGAAGACAUAUUACCUAGUUAUACAUAAUUUGAUUUGCCUGUCAUAAAUAGAUAUAGUGUGUAACAAUAUUAUAGCCAUCGUCAAGACGGAUUUCUAAUUCUAAGAAUCCGUAUUACACGAUUCUACAUAAAAUGAAUUUGCAAAGCUGGCACGUUGCCGAUUGUAUUUUUAAAAUAAUUUUAGACAUCAAAGGUUUUACCCCAAAUUGAAAGCUUAUCUAAAAUAGUCUACAGUAUACAUUUUAUCCGGAGGGAGUUGUUAGUUACCUUUUCGAUUACCAAUAAUUAUAUUAUUAGAAUGAAUAAUUUAAAAUUUGUAUAACAGUAAUUAUCGUAUCAGAGAGAAAUAAAGAACUAGGUAUGUGUUAAAAGUUAUAAAUUUACAACUUAUGAACAUAUAUAGAUUUAUCUAUGUUUGCAAAUGCGAUCAACUUAUAAAUUGACGCUGCUUUUCUGACAAAAAUUGCACCGCAUUUAUUUUUUCAAAUUUAACCUAACCUAGCAAAGUAUAGGAGCAUGUGAUAGUGUCAAGUGUGUGGCCUAAGAUGCUUUGGACUCGACGGCUCUGCGGUAGGUACCUCAUCUGACUAUAUAUUAUGUUGUGCCGGGAGCUUUCUUAUAAACAGCGUCCCCAUUCCUUCCUUCAUGGAUGAGUGAUGACCAUGACUUAGUGGCAUGGUCACGACCUCAUUAUUAAGUUAAUCGAAAUUUGUUGUUGUAUGAUAACAAUUCCUUAUCAGAUAGAUAAUUCAAAUCUGGUUAUUUGUACAUUAGAGCUUAGUACUAAAUUAAUGAUUCCGAUUCUGUAUUCGCACAUCACAAUAUUAGUCGUAAUAGUGAGUCCAAAGAUUCGUAGUUGUUGUGAAACAAUAUAAUUUUCUAAUUAUAUGUAUGUAUAGUUCUGAUAAUUGGUUGUUCUAUUCGGUAGCCUAUUAUAAAACUAAUAAAUACUUUUUGGUCUUAUAAAUUGUAAUAUAAUAAUUAAUAAUAAAUUAUCAACUAGGUACUUAUUAGAAAAUUUAAUAAGUAUACCUAUAUGAGUAUGUCUAUACCUUAUUUUUUAAUAAAAAUUAACACAUUAUUCGUCGUUCCGCUCAGAACGUAUUGAUUUUAUAAUGUUUUGAAUGUUUGUGUCUGUAAAUAUUAGGGCAGUAAAAAUGCUUUGAUUUUU